GCAGAAGUUCACAUGGCAUAGGCUGGCAGCUGAGACACUUUGCCGCUUCGUGGAUCAGAGGCUAAGAGAUUGUAAGCUCCAUGAGGAAAGAAGUCAAGCCUCCUUUUGGUCACUUCAUUAUCUCCAUGAUGCUGCCAUUCAACAAAGUGUGCUCAGAUUCCUCUAUUAAACUGAUGAAUAACCACAGCAGAGGACACAAAUCUUAAGUAUACAGAUCAAUUAAAUGUAUAUAUGUGUACAUCCGUGUAAGCACCACUCAAAUCAAGAUGUAGAACAUUUCAAGAAGCUCAGAAGUCUCCUUUAUGCUACCAGUCAUUACUCUUCCCCACAAAACACAUUGUUCUAAACAGUAUCAACAUAGAUUAGUUUUGACACUUUUUGAACUUUAUAUAAAUAAAGGCAUAUGUUAUAUACUCUUGG